rnacentral:snRNA from 1 species
AUCACCUCUUGGGAUUUUGGCUGAGAUCAAGUGUAGUAUCUGUUCUUAUUACUUCUAUAAGUUUUGAAAAAUGAAUAAAUAAAUGAAUACUGGCAGAAUCAAGAACUAUU